CUCCCCCAAAGCCAGAAAUUCAUUUUGUCCAUGACUUGCCUCCCAUAUCACCAGAGGUAACUAUUUUACUGUAUGAUUUGCCACUGAAUGACACGAGUCAACACCACUCAAGCCUCUGAUACAUGUAUUGCUUCAGGUAUCGUGGGUCAAGGAGGGUCUCUUGGCACUGAGCUUUGCUGCCUUGGAAGACGGUUGAUGCAGGAUCGUGUAACGAUCAAGAGAAUGGAAGACAGGCUGAGUUUGAAUGUCAGCUCCUCCACAUCUGGCGAGAAUUUGUACGAGUUAACCAACCUCUCUGUGUCUAAGUUUCCUCAUCAAUAAAACAGGAAUGAUAAAAUAGAA
rnacentral:lncRNA from 1 species